rnacentral:tRNA from 1 species
GCCCGAUUAGCUCAAAGGAAGAGCUACUCCCCUACAAGGAGAUGGUUGGAGGUUCAAGUCCUUCAUCGGGCA